GUGUUUAUGGAGGGAAUACCGCACCCGAUACCCAGAACUGUAGAGCUAGCUUGAUACUGGUUUAAUCUUUGUUUGUUUAUAUAAUUUAUGGGUUUGUUUUUGUCUUUGUGAAAUGGGUUCUUUUUUAAUUUUAGUUCGGUGGGUUGUUUCUUGCAGAAGUUUUACCAGCAGUGGGAUCCUGGUGCACAAAUAAACAUAAACCCUUUUGUUUAUAUAUUCUUUCUCUUUCUCUCAGUCUAUCUCCUUUUAGUUUUACACAAACAAAUCUCAACCCAAAAUUGUCUCCUACUUUCUCUUUCCCAUCUUUUCUCUUCCGGGUUCCUUUCAAAAUUGUGUUUUUAUAACCCAAUUUUGUCAAUUCAAAAUCCCAAACAAAAACCCAUAUUAAGAGACCCUUUCUUUUCAUUUGACUUUUCUUCUUCUUGUUCUCUUCAAUCCCGCAAACCCAUUUUUGUUACACAAGUGUUUACGGAGGGAAUAUCGCACCCAAUGCCCAGAACUGUAGAGGAAGUCUUCAAGGGCAGACGAACUGGCUUGAUCAAGGCCUUAACUACUGGUUUAAUCUUUGUUUGUUUAUAUAAUUUAUGGGUUCUUUUUUAAUUUUAAUUUUCUUGCAGAGGUUCGAGAAGUUUUACCAGCAGUGGGAUCCUGGUGCACAUUUAUUUAUAUAUUCUUUCUCUCAACCUAUCUCUUUUUAGUUUUACACAAACAAAUCUCAACCCAAAAUUGUGUCAUACUUUCUCUUUACCAUCUUUUCUCUUCCGGGUUCCUUUCAAAAUUGUGUUUUUUAACCCAAUUUUGUCAAUUCAAACAGAAAUCCUAAUUCCCAACUUAAGAGACCCUUUCUUUUAAAAUUCUUUUCAUUUGACUCUUCUUCUUCUUCUUCUUCUUGUUUUCUUCAAUACCCGUAAACCCAUUUUUGUUAUACAAGUUUUUAUGGAGGGAAUAUCGCACCCAAUACCCAAAACUGUAGAGGAAGUCUUCGGCGACUUCAAGGGCAUACGAGCUGGCUUGAUCAAGGCUUUAACUACUGAUGUUGAGAAGUUUUACCAGCAGUCUGCGAUCCUUUUCAUGGUUUUUUGUUAAAUGCAAGGAAUGAAUUCUUGUUUUGAAGACAGUUCUUUGUAUGUUUUCUCAGAGUUUCUUCGUUUCUUACUUACAUGCUCAUUUUGUGAUACAAUUCUUGGGACAAACAAACAGCAAUGUGAUUUCUCUUCUUGUGAAAACUAGGCCGUUUAUAUAAACACAAAGAGCUACUUCUCUUUGUUGCACUCACAGAAUUUUAAUAACAA